AAUUCCAUAACCGUAUCAAAACCAGCCAAUUUAUCCAACAGCCCCAGCCUGAAAUAGCCACAGAGCUCCUCUAUGAAUCAAAACCAAUAAAAAACACAACUAAGAGACAUGCCUUCGCGCUUCGACCACAUAGUAUUUCACUUUAACGCGCACCGCGGUUAUAUUAACGUCCGGUGAAGUAGACGGCUGUCGGACAGACUGCGCAUGCUCAGUAGAGUGACUCGUUGUUUAUAUAUAUAUCGCUCUGCUAGCUUAACGCGCUGAAAUAAUGAACUAAGCUAGCUGUGCUUAUUGACAGUAUGGAAAAUCUCGCCCAAUUUUAAAGAUACAUUAUGUUGGAUGAGCGGCAUCACAACUUGUAUGGAGGCAUGCUUGAUCGCAGUCUGCUGUGCCUGAACCAUUGUUCACGGAAGAUGUUGGUGUUUUCUGCAGUGGUGGCUAUGAGGAACACCCACUCUGUCACCACGAUGCCACAGGAGACACAGUGCUCUUUUAAAACCCAGCGGUGAUCCCCCCGUUAUCCAGAUGAAAACGGAUUUAUUCAAACCUCCCAUCAACCAACCCUAUAAAUAGAAGCUUGUGGAAAAUCUUCUGAGAGGGGGAGAAAAAAAAAAUAAGCUGUGCUCUUAAGCUGUUAUUAACAUGCUGAUAGAAAAAUGUCAAAUGUUGUUUUGGAGCAGAGAAUUUUUGGUGAAAAUAAUGCUUCCUAGUAAUAUUUGUGAUUUGAGCACAAGAUUCAUUAAAUGAUAAAAUUAUCUGACAAAAAUACACAGCUGAGUCAUACUUUCUGGUGUUACUGCACAUGCUACUUGACUGCAGGGUGAGUUGUAAUGGUGAUUUGCAUCAGAAACUGUAUGCAUUAUUGCAUAAGGGCUCUAGUGAAAUGGUAGGUGAACGAUACUCAAAAUGAGUUCAUCAUACACUC